rnacentral:lncRNA from 14 species
GGUCUUCAAAGUCCACAGAAAAGAGCAGGAAAUAAAGGAGGGGAAGACAUUUUACAAAGCAAGGCAAUUUCUCCCAAAGCCUGAGAAGACCCGAGAUGCCCAGGUUCAGCACACCAGCAAGAGCCAUAGGACGGGAGAGGAUGCAAAGGUGCUCUUGGACAGAGGGGAAAAAAGGCUUGAAAAUCUGUGGAGAGCUCAUGGUGGACAAGUGCUAAAGCAUGUUGGGAUAUGGUACCAGUACACAGACAAAACACAAAUGACGCCUAAAUGGGGAAUUUGCUAAUAGAGGAAAUGAGAGUUCGAAGGUAACAAGAAAAGCUACUAACAGAAAGGGCUAUUACAAAAAUAAGGAAAUGAAAUACCUUCCACCCUUCCUUUAAAGCUGCCCUAACUUACAGUAACUCCCCACGAGCUCCUUGGUUCGAUUUGGGGAUUUCUUGUGUUUCUG